rnacentral:rRNA from 1 species
AGAAUCAACGCUGGCGGCGUGCCUAACACAUGCAAGUCGAACGAGAAAGUGGGAGCAAUCCCAUGAGUAAAGUGGCGCACGGGUGAGUAACACGUGACUAACCUACCCUUGAGUGGGGGAUAACCUAGGGAAACCUGGGCUAAUACCGCAUAAUACCUACGGGUCAAAGGAGCAAUUCGCUUUAGGAGGGGGUCGCGGCAGAUUAGUUAGUUGGCGGGGUAAUGGCCCACCAAGACAGUGAUCUGUAUCCGGCCUGAGAGGGCGCACGGACACACUGGAACUGAAACACGGUCCAGACUCCUACGGGAGGCAGCAGUGGGGAAUUUUGCGCAAUGGGGGAAACCCUGACGCAGCAACGCCGCGUGGAGGAUGAAGCCCUUGGGGCGUAAACUCCUUUCGAUCGGGAAGAUAAUGACGGUACCGGAAGAAGAAGCCCCGGCUAACUCGCGCCAGCAGCCGC